UUUCCGUAGGUGAACCUGCGGAAGGAUCAUUAUUGUAUAACCGAGAUGCGAGGGCUGUCGCUGACCCGAAAGGUCGUGCACGCCCGAGUGCCCUCACACACAUCCAUCUCACCCCUAUGUGCACCACCGCGUGGGUCCCCCUUUGGCUUGUUCGGAGGGGGGCUUACGUUUUCACACAAACUUUGUAUGCAGUGUAGAAUGUAUUUUUUGUUUUUGCGAUCACGCAAUCAAUACAACUCUCAACAACGGAUCUCUUGGCUCUC
rnacentral:misc_RNA from 1 species